GAUGAACGCUGGCGGCGUGCCUAAUACAUGCAAGUCGAGCGAACGGACGAGAAGCUUGCUUCUCUGAUGUUAGCGGCGGACGGGUGAGUAACACGUGGAUAACCUACCUAUAAGACUGGGAUAACUUCGGGAAACCGGAGCUAAUACCGGAUGAUAUUUUGAACCGCAUGGUUCAAAAGUGAAAGACGGUCUUGCUGUCACUUAUAGAUGGAUCCGCGCUGCAUUAGCUAGUUGGUAAGGUAACGGCUUACCAAGGCAACGAUGCAUAGCCGACCUGAGAGGAUGAUCGGCCACACUGGAACUGAGACACGGUCCAGACUCCUACGGGAGGCAGCAGUAGGGAAUCUUCCGCAAAGGGCGAAAGCCUGACGGAGCAACGCCGCGUGAGUGAUGAAGGUCUUCGGAUCGUAAAACUCUGUUAUUAGGGAAGAACAUAUGUGUAAGUAACUGUGCACAUCUUGACGGUACCUAAUCAGAAAGCCACGGCUAACUACGUG
rnacentral:rRNA from 1 species